UCUUCGCUAGUAUAUCGGUUAGUACACGCGCCUGUCAUGAAUAUAGGUUCGCGCGAAAGCUGGGUUCGACUCCCAGGCGAAGAG